rnacentral:rRNA from 1 species
GAUGAACGCUAGCGGCAGGCUUAACACAUGCAAGUCGAGGGGUAUUGGUUUUCGGACCAAGAGACCGGCGCACGGGUGCGUAACGCGUAUGCAAUCUACCUUUUGCAGAGGGAUAGCCCAGAGAAAUUUGGAUUAAUACCUCAUAGUAUAGUACUUUGGCAUCAAGGAACUAUUAAAGUCACAACGGCAAAAGAUGAGCAUGCGUCCAUUAGCUAGUUGGUAAGGUAACGGCUUACCAAGGCUACGAUGGGUAGGGGUCCUGAGAGGGAGAUCCCCCCACACUGGUACUGAGACACGGACCAGACUCCUACGGGAGGCAGCAGUGAGGAAUAUUGGACAAUGGGCGCAAGCCUGAUCCAGCCAUGCCGCGUGCAGGAUGACGGUCCUAUGGAUUGUAAACUGCUUUUANACAGGAAGAACCCUCCCACGUGUGGGAGCUUGACGGUACUGUAGGAAUAAGGAUCGGCUAACUCCGUGCCAGCAGCCGCGGU